UACAGGGGGGGCAAGCGUUGUUCGGAAUCACUGGGCGUAAAGGGCUCGUAGGUGGCCAACUAAGUCAGACGUGAAAUCCCUCAGCUUAACUGGGGAACUGCGUCUGAUACUGGAUGGCUUGAGUUUGGGAGAGGGAUGCGGAAUUCCAGGUGUAGCGGUGAAAUGCGUAGAUAUCUGGAGGAACACCGGUGGCGAAGGCGGCAUCCUGGACCAACACUGACACUGAGGAGCGAAAGCCAGGGGAGCAAACGGG
rnacentral:rRNA from 1 species